CAGUAGCCACGGUAAUACGUAGGUGGCAAGCGUUGUCCGGAAUUAUUGGGCGUAAAGGGCUCGCAGGCGGUUUCUUAAGUCUGAUGUGAAAGCCCCCGGCUCAACCGGGGAGGGUCAUUGGAAACUGGGAAACUUGAGUGCAGAAGAGGAGAGUGGAAUUCCACGUGUAGCGGUGAAAUGCGUAGAGAUGUGGAGGAACACCAGUGGCGAAGGCGACUCUCUGGUCUAUAACUGACGCUGAGGAGCGAAAGCGUGGGGAGCGAACAGGAUUAGAUACCCCUGUAGUCCCUGUCUCUUAUAC
rnacentral:rRNA from 1 species